rnacentral:rRNA from 1 species
AUUGAACGCUGGCGGCAUGCCUUACACAUGCAAGUCGAACGGUAACAGGUCUUCGGAUGCUGACGAGUGGCAAACGGGUGAGUAAUACAUCGGAACGUGCCUAGUAGUGGGGGAUAACUACUCGAAAGAGUGGCUAAUACCGCAUGAGAUCUACGGAUGAAAGCAGGGGAUCGCAAGACCUUGUGCUACUAGAGCGGCCGAUGGCAGAUUAGGUAGUUCGUGGGAUAAAAGCUUACCAAGCGGACGAUCUGUAGAUGGUCUGAGAGGACGAGCAGACAGACUGGGACUGAGACACGGCCAAGACUCCUACGGGAGGCAGCAGUGGGGAAUUGUGGACAAUGGGCGCAAGCCUGAUGCAGCAAUACCGAGUGCAGGAUGAAGGACUUCGGGUUGUAAACUGCUUUUGUACGGAACGAAAAGCACUGGGUUAAUACCCUGGGGUCAUGACGGUACCGUAAGAAUAAGCACCGGCUAACUACGUGCCAGCCGCCGCAGUAACAC